GACUCACCCACCACGCUCAAGUGUACAUAAAGGACGCCCGUCUCUUUACACUUUGCCCAGGUUCGAUGGUUGAUGGAAAUAUUCGUUCUAGCUGAUGGUGUUGUCGCUGUGUUUAGCUUCCGUCAGAUGUUUCCUCGGCUCACCCACCACGCUAUCACAGGGGUAGGGCCGCCCUCCUUCUCCUGGAGGUAUCCACUGAAAAUACAGGCAAACAUCAAUCCUGCCAAGCAGGGCGUCUCUCCAGCGCUUACACAAACCACUUGCAGGUUCACAACAUCUCUCCAACUACACUGCUUCAGCCUGGGAAAGAGAGCCGGACCGCUACCAGCAACGCACCCGAUGAGUAUACACAACACUGCAGUACAACGUCAACAAUCCGCCUCUAACUGUGAUUUAACUGUUCUUUUUAUACUGGCCUGCCCGGCGUGUCCUCCAAUCAUCGCCGCUC